rnacentral:rRNA from 1 species
GAUGAACGCUGGCGGCGUGCCUAAUACAUGCAAGUCGAGCGAACAGACGCGGCGCUUACUCCUCUGACGUUAGCGGCGGACGGGUGAGUAACACGUGGAUAACCUACCUAUAAGACUGGGAUAACUUCGGGAAACCGGAGCUAAUACCGGAUAACAUGUUGAACCGCAUGGUUCAACAGUAAAAGACGGUCUUGCUGUCACUUCUAGAUGGAUACGCGUCGCAUUAGCUAGUUGGUAAGGUAACGGCUUACCACGGCAACGAUGCGUAGCCGACCUGAGGGGCGGAUCGGCCACACUGGAGCUGAGACGCGGUCCAGACUCCUAAGGGAGGCAGCAGUAUGGUAUGGGACGCAAUAGGCGAAAGCCUGACGGAGCAGCGCCGCGUGAGUGAAGAAGGUCUUCGGAGCGUGAAACUCUGUUAUUAGGUAAGAACAAAUGUGUAAGUAGCUAUGCACGUCUUGACGGUACCUAGUCAGAAAGCCACGGCUAACUACGUG